UGGCGAACGGGUGAGUAACGCGUGAGGAACCUGCCUCAUACAGGGGGAUAACAGUUGGAAACGGCUGCUAAUACCGCAUAAGCGCACAGUACCGCAUGGUACGGUGUGAAAAACUCCGGUGGUAUGAGAUGGACCCGCGUCUGAUUAGGUAGUUGGUGGGGUAACGGCCUACCAAGCCGACGAUCAGUAGCCGACCUGAGAGGGUGACCGGCCACAUUGGGACUGAGACACGGCCCAA
rnacentral:rRNA from 1 species